UGAUGUGUGUAAAUGCACUGUUUGUCAGGAAGUGCUCAAGAAAAUAAAAACGAAAGCACACAGAGGAUUCAAGUCAGCAUGCACUAAUGCUCCGGAUACUCCCCGACGUUGUCUAGAGGAGAUGACUGCGCGUCAGGGCUCUGGACAGGCCUGGGGAAAACUGGUGAACUUGAACACAUCUCCGGGUCCAGAGAUGUUACUCAGAAAUAGAGAAUGCAUGGUGGGGAGAAAAAAAGAUUGUGACCUUUCAUUCC